rnacentral:tRNA from 1 species
GCCUGGGUGGCUCAGUCAGUUAAGCAUCUGACUUCGGCUCAGGUCAUGAUUUCAUAGUUCAUGGGUUCCAGCCCCAUGUCAGGCU